rnacentral:rRNA from 1 species
AACGAACGCUGGCGGCAGGCCUAACACAUGCAAGUCGAACGCCCUAGCAAUAGGGAGUGGCAGACGGGUGAGUAACACGUGGGAACCUUCCCUGUAGUACGGAAUAGCCCAGGGAAACUUGGAGUAAUACCGUAUACGCCCGAAAGGGGAAAGAUUUAUCGCUAUAGGAUGGGCCCGCGUAGGAUUAGCUAGUUGGUGAGGUAAUGGCUCACCAAGGCGACGAUCCUUAGCUGGUUUGAGAGAACGACCAGCCACACUGGGACUGAGACACGGCCCAGACUCCUACGGGAGGCAGCAGUGGGGAAUAUUGGACAAUGGGCGCAAGCCUGAUCCAGCCAUGCCGCGUGAGUGAUGAAGGCCUUAGGGUUGUAAAGCUCUUUUGGCGGGACGAUAAUGACGGUACCCGCAGAAUAAGUCCCGGCUAACUUCGUGCCAGCCGCCGCUGU